CAGGCCUAACACAUGCAAGUCGAACGGCAGCAUGAUUGAUGGUGACAUUAAUUGAUGGCGAGUGGCGGACGGGUGAGGAAGACGUAGGGAUCUACCUUGUAGCGGAGGAUAACACGUGGAAACGCGUGCUAAUACUGCAUACGCUUUACGAAGGAAAGGCAUGGGACUAUAGGGCCAUGCGCUAUAAGAUGAACCUACGGCGGAUUAGCUAGUCGGUUGGGUAAAGGCUGACCAAGGCGAAGAUCCGUAGCUGUUCUGAGAGGAAGGACAGCCACACUGGGACUGAGACACGGCCCAGACUCCUACGGGAGGCAGCAGUGGGGAAUUUUGGACAAUGGGGGGAACCCUGAUCCAGCGAUGCCGCGUGUGCGAAGAAGGCCUGCGGGUUGUAAAGCACUUUAGGUGGGGAAGAAUAGUUUGGAGUGAUAAGCUUCAGAUGAUGACGUUACCCACAGAAUAAGCACCGGCUAACUCUGUGCCAGCAGCCGCGGUAAU
rnacentral:rRNA from 1 species